rnacentral:rRNA from 1 species
GUGGGAAGGAGCAUUUUGGUUCGGAACAACCCAGGGAAACUUGGAGCUAAUAUCUUACANGCCCUUACGGGGAAAGAUUUAUUGCCGAAGGAACGGCCCGCGUCCGAUUAGCUUGUUGGUGAGGUAACGGCUCACCAAGGCGACGAUCGGUAGCUGGUCUGAGAGGAUGACCAGCCUCACUGGGACUGAGACACGGCCCAGACUCCUACGGGAGGCAGCAGUGGG